rnacentral:rRNA from 1 species
AAGGGUACCGGCAGUUUCGGCAAGCGCCGGAACAAGACCCACACGCUCUGCAUCCGCUGCGGCCGCCGCAGCUUCCACCUCCAGAAGAGCACCUGCUCCUCGUGCGGCUACCCCGCCGCCCGCAUCCGCAAGUACAACUGGAGUGUGAAAGCCAUCAGGCGCAAGACCACCGGCACUGGAAGGAUGAGGUACAUGCGCCACGUGCCUCGCAGGUUCAAGAGCAACUUCAGAGAAGGUACCGAGGCUGCCCCCAGGAACAGGGCCGCGGCCAACUAG